rnacentral:lncRNA from 1 species
CAUACACUUAGUGUAGCAUGCACUUGGUGAAAUAUCAGUUAAUUUCAGCCACCUCUUGAGUAGAUCCUAAUGUUAAACUAAUGACAAACGAAAUCAGCAAUUUUGUCCCACUUAUUUUAGUAGUUUUGCAUUUCUUGCUUCUCCAUUCUCCGCGAUGCCAUUCACCAAUUUCAUCUAGGGGCUCCUUGGACUCGAAUUAAGUUUCAAGUUGAUACAUUUUGAAUGGAUAUAUAACUUAUUAUAAUGUAAAGAGAGAGCUUACAGAUGGGAGAUCCAGAAGGCUGACAUGGAUGAAAACAACACAGGGAUCAACAAUAAAGAAUCCUCAAGAGGAAGAUCUUCUGAUUUUUGUUGUUCCAUUCCACAACAAUGAAAUAUAGAUCAGUGAUCAUAAAAGAAUUGCAUUAGGCUGCAAAAUUUUUGGAGAUCUGCUUGACCCAGACUCAAGUGAACCAGGAAUAAGGGCUUAACUUUAUAUCAGGUGAAAUUAGGUCCAAAUUUUGAGUAUCUUCAAUCAAAAUCAGCAGAAUGAACCAAAAUAUAUAUUUUUUCCAUGUGAACUAGGUAGAGUCUAAUCCAAGGUGCCAAAUCUUGCAAUAUGGGCUAUUGUUCACAUGCUAGUACAGCACAGGAUGCAGCACACCCCUUGUAUCUAUUCAUGGUUCAUCAAAAUAAAUAGCUCAUGUUGAAACAGGUUGAUAUAGCGCAAUACAGGUCUAAUAUGAUAGGGUACAAGGAAGAUUUGAAACCUAGGUCUGAAGGAUUUGUUAGUCAAUAUUCACUCAUCAACCAAGGAACAAAGAUUAAAGGUAAAACAACAUGCAAAACAAAGCAUAUUCAGAAUUUUUUUCUCCAAGUCCAGAGCUCCUCUCAAGUAUUUUUUUUUUCCCAACAAUCUCAUUAUCACUUAACUUAGUAAUAUUAAUAAAACAUGGACAUUGUACAAGCUAUGUGGAGGAGAGACAACGGAAUAGCCUAGAAGCCUCUUCAAUGCCUCCCUCUUCUAACCAAAAACUUGUCAAAAUCACAAGGAAGUAAAGCUAAAUAGAAAAACCCAUUCAUCAUAGCCAACAACACACAGUCCAAAACCAUGAAUUUGAAAGCAACAACUAAACCCCUUCAAGUUGUAAUAGUACUAAUAACCCCUCAGUGAAAAGUGAGAGCCUCAAGUACAAUGGAAUAAGCCAUGAUAGCAUCAUUGUUUAAUAUUGAAGAGUGAAAUCUUGUAAACAUUAUAUCGUCCAUGCUCUCCACAAUCUACUGAAUCUCAUUUGGUAAAGCAGGCAGUCAUUUAAGGUCCAAUAGGAGGAUCCUUGGUGUCCUUGAACUUGUUACUGGGUGAUUGCUGUCAUACGAAACUAACAUGCAAUAGAGAAUUUUUCCGAAGUCCCUCACAUAUCAGAAUCCCUUAACUGAAAAACCAAAGCUUAGCCACCAAGGNNNNNNNNNNNNNNNNNNNNAAGGUCCAAUAGGAGGAUCCUUGGUGUCCUUGAACUUGUUACUGGGUGAUUGCUGUCAUAAGAAACUAACAUGCAAUAGAGAAUUUUUCCGAAGUCCCUUACAUAUCAGAAUCCCUUAACUGAAAAACC